rnacentral:tRNA from 1 species
AAGGUUCUAGUAAACAAAUUACAUAGCCCUGUCAGCGCUAAAUUACAAGCCAUAAGCCUGUGAAUCUUA